rnacentral:rRNA from 1 species
UAACCUGCCCAAGAGACUGGGAUAACACCUGGAAACAGAUGCUAAUACCGGAUAACAACACUAGACGCAUGUCUAGAGUUUAAAAGAUGGUUCUGCUAUCACUCUUGGAUGGACCUGCGGUGCAUUAGCUAGUUGGUAAGGUAACGGCUUACCAAGGCAAUGAUGCAUAGCCGAGUUGAGAGACUGAUCGGCCACAUUGGGACUGAGACACUGUCCAAACUCCUACGGGAGGCAGCAGCC